AGGCUGCAUUUUAUAUUUUUAUUCAAUUGAAAGUACAGGUGAUCAUGUGUAGUUCCCAGAAUAAUUUCAUUUUAUUAAGGAUAGUUUAGAAAUAGCUAAGCAAUUUUCCUGUUAGAUCAGAAAUUUUUUUUUUUUAGAUAGUGGAUAUAGUUUAUAAGAUACGGCUAGGAACGUGUGAACAGGUGCAGUUCUAUGGUACAGAUAAUAGGUGAUGCCAGUUGAUUGUAGUUGCAGUAAGUUGAUGCUGCUGUUAUUAGUGGAAGAAAUAAUAUAGAUUGAUAUGCCAGGAUAAGUAAAUUUGUUUCUCCAAUUGGGUCAAAGGAUCUUAACUACAUGUUAAAUUUGCAAUUGCUUAGGAAUAUUUAUUCUGCUUCUUGUGCCAGGAUUUAACAUACACUUGGAUCUUCACAAGGAACAGGCAUUUUUAUUUUUAAACAAGUUGGAUCUUGUAGGUAUGAAAAACUAAUUGAUAAUGUAACUUUAUGAAAAGAUUCAAGUCCUUGUUGAGAUAAUAUUCAGUGUUUUUACCAAAUAGCAACUGUCCAGCUUCAGUAUUUUGCAUCAUUGGUUUUUUUUGUUGUUGUUGUUUUUGACUAGGGCACUAAAUAGCAUCUAAUGGAAAUAACCACCGAAUUAUGGCAUGCUUUUUCUUGCCAGUCCUUUAAGAUGCACAUCUCCAUCACCUUCUUUAAAGUAGAAUUAGUUUUGUGUUUAAAUAUAUUUGCCAAGUAGUGCCACAAAUAUCAAAGCUGCCAGCAUAGAACUAACUUAGCUGAAUUAAAGCUAUAAAUUAUUAGGGCAAUAAAAGAUGAGGAUUUAUUUUAGAAUUGAUGGGGCGCUUAUAAACAGUAACUAGCAUGAUUUUAAAGGUAGAAGUUAAAUCCUUGAGCAUCGAAAUUUAUAUAGUUAAGGAAGUUUUGGGGCAAACCUUGGUAAAGUAGAAGAGUGAACUGUUCCAAUUUACUUUUUUCUUUUAAAGCAAAUAAAGCAAAAAAAAAAAAUUGUGUGCUGACAAAAUCUCAUCUCCUUUUCCUUAGUCUGUCCAUGUGAAUGUGCUGUGUGGAAGAGUAAAAGGGCCCAACUAAAUGUGUUCCAGUGAUUCCAAUAGCUAUUUAGCUGGUACCUACUGCUAUAUCACCUAGUGUGAAAUUUGGAAUUAAUGGACCAAUGAAGAGUGCUGUCCAGCUGGAAGCUUCAAAUGGGCAUGAAAGGUCUUCAGUUUCAUGGCGUCUGCUGUGAGAAUGAAGUCUUGAAAAUUUAUUGAAGACUUGGAAAUACUUACCAGCCAGCAGAGGUUAAUCACUAAGGGUAAGAUUCAUCAGUAUGCUAGAGGUAGAGAGAACAUUAGCUCUUAACCUCGAUGUCCAGUUUGACAUCUUCCCUACUAAAAUGAAGAUUGAAAGCAGAAAUGGUCUGACAUUUUUAAAAAGGUCAGCGCCUCCCCCCACCCUUGCAGUGUUACAGUGUAAAUGGAAUGACCCACAUCAUAGGAUUAAAAAAAAAUUAUUGGGUCUUAAGUGGUUCGAAAAUGUAGCUUGCAUAAGGGUGGGCAGAGAGAUGUCCUUGCCUAAGUUGCAUUUACAUGAUUACCUUCCUUGCCUAAUGAAAAUUGCACUUUUAGGUAUUGCAGAUGAAUAGAAUCAAUAAAAUUCUUGAAAUAAGUGGUAGGUAUAGUAUUUUAUACAUCACACAGCCAGUGUACCCUCUUGACAAUCAGGAGGUGGGCCUAGGAGGAAAACGGCUAUUACUGAAAUGAACUGGACUGGGGUAAGCCUCAGUUGGGGAAAAA